rnacentral:rRNA from 1 species
AUUGAACGCUGGCGGCAUGCUUUACACAUGCAAGUCGAACGGUAACAGGCCGCAAGGUGCUGACGAGUGGCGAACGGGUGAGUAAUGCAUCGGAACGUGCCCAGUCGUGGGGGAUAACGCAGCGAAAGCUGCGCUAAUACCGCAUACGAUCUAUGGAUGAAAGCGGGGGACCGUAAGGCCUCGCGCGAUUGGAGCGGCCGAUGUCAGAUUAGGUAGUUGGUGGGGUAAAGGCUCACCAAGCCAACGAUCUGUAGCUGGUCUGAGAGGACGAUCAGCCACACUGGGACUGAGACACGGCCCAGACUCCUACGGGAGGCAGCAGUGGGGAAUUUUGGACAAUGGGCGCAAGCCUGAUCCAGCAAUGCCGCGUGCAGGAUGAAGGCCUUCGGGUUGUAAACUGCUUUUGUACGGAACGAAAAGCCCUGGGUUAAUACCCUGGGGUCAUGACGGUACCGUAAGAAUAAGCACCGGCUAACUACGUGCCAGCAGCCGCCGUAAGAC